rnacentral:rRNA from 1 species
GGAGCGGCGGACGGGUGAGUAUAAAGUUGGAAUUUGCCUCGUACUCAGGGAUAACUAUCCGAAAGGAUAGCUAAUACCGGAUAGCCUCGAAAGAGUAAAGCUUUUGCGGUACGAGAGAAGCCUACUUUUUAUCAGGUAGUUGGUAGGGUAAGAGCCUACCAAGCCUAUGACGAAUAGCUGGUCUGAGAGGAUGAUCAGCCACACUGGAACUGAGACACGGUCCAGACUCCUACGGGAGGCAGCAGUAAGGAAUUUUCCGCAAUGGACGAAAGUCUGACGGAGCAACGCCGCGUGAAGGAUGACACCCCUAUGGGGCGUAAACUUCUUUUGUGAGGGAAGAUAAUGACGGUACCUCACGAAUAAGGGACGGCUAAUCACGUGCCAGCAGCCGCGGUAAUACGUGAGUCUCAAGCGUUACCCGGAAUUAUUGGGCGUAAAGAGUUCGUAGGAGGAUUGAUAAGUAAGAUGUUCCAACUCACAGCUCAACUGUGAGAUUGCGUUUUAAACUGUCAAUCUAGAAGAUGGUAGAGGUCAAUAGAAUUCCCGGUGUAGAGGUAAAAUCCGUAGAUAUCGGGAGGAAUACCAAUAGCGAAGGCAAUUGACUGGGCCAUUCUUGACUCUGAGGAACGAAAGCGUGGGGAGCGAACGGGAUUAGAUACCCCGGUAGUCCACGCCGUAAACGAUGGACACUUGAUGUAUGCGUCGUCGAACGCGCAUGUGUCGUAGCUAACGCGAUAAGUGUCCCGCCUGAGGAGUACGGUCGCAAGAUUAAAACUCAAAGGAAUAGACGGGGGCCUACACAAGCGGUGGAGCGUGAGGUUUAAUUCGUCGAUAAACGGAGAACCUUACCCAGAUUUGCAUGUAACUGCACGCCUCUAGAGAUAGAGGUUUUCCUACGAGGGUGUUACACAGGUGCUGCAUGGUUGUCGUCAGUUCGUGUCGUGAGAUGUACGGUUAAGUCCGAUAACGAACGCAACCCUCAUUAGCUAGUUGUAAUUUUCUAGCAAGACUGCCGUGUAUAACGCGGAGGAAGGUGGGGAUGACGUCAAAUCAGCAUGGCUCUUACAUCUGGGGCCACACUCGCGCUACAAUGGGGUAUACAGUGAGCGGCGAACCGGUGACGGUAAGCAAAUCUCCUAAAGUACCUCCAAGUUCGGAUUGAAGGCUGAAAUUCGCCUUCAUGAAGUUGGAAUCGCUAGUAACCGUGAAUCAGAAUGUCACGGUGAAUAUGUUCCUAGGCCUUGUACUCACCGCCCGUCAAGUCAUGGGAGUUGGGGGCGCCAGAAGCUAUCUUAGCCAACCUUCGGGGGCGGAUAACCAAGGUGAAACCAAUAACUGGGACUAAGUCGGAACAAGGUA